CAGUCGCCGCGGUAAAACGUAGGGCGCAAGCGUUAUCCGGAAUUAUUGGGCGUAAAGAGCUCGUAGGCGGUUUGUCGCGUCUGCCGUGAAAGUCCGGGGCUCAACCCCGGAUCUGCGGUGGGUACGGGCAGACUAGAGUGAUGUAGGGGAGACUGGAAUUCCUGGUGUAGCGGUGAAAUGCGCAGAUAUCAGGAGGAACACCGAUGGCGAAGGCAGGUCUCUGGGCAUUAACUGACGCUGAGGAGCGAAAGCAUAGGGAGCGAACAGGAUUAGAUACCCGCGUAGUCCCUGUCUCUUAUAC
rnacentral:rRNA from 1 species